rnacentral:lncRNA from 1 species
GGGUAUUCCUGCCCUGUGUUAAGAGGGCAGAUGGGUAUUCCUGCCCUGUGGUAAGAGGGCAGAUGUGUGUUCCUGCCUUGUGCUGAGAGGGUGGAUGUGUAUUCCUGCCCUGUGCUAGGAGGGUGGAUGUGUGUUCCUGCCCUGUAGGAGAGUGGAUGUGUAUCCCCACUCAGUGCAGCUGCCUUUGUGGUCCGUGAGGACCCCCUGGCUGCGGAAGGGGGGACGCCCCGGGCCCGCAAGGCUGCAGCCCCUGGAAGACGUUCCACGGGCGGAGAACAGUCGGGAGAGCCCGGCUAUAGACAGUCAGGAGGACCUGACUUUGGUUUUCUGGAACAAAGGAGAUGGAAUGCUCCUUUUACCUAGGCGGGAGUGGACGAGGAAUCCCACUCCGUCAGAGGUCGAGUUCGGCUGCCUAUUUAAAUAUAGGCACGGACAAGUGUGCUUGGUCGUUAAGACAAGAGGACACUCUGGAAUCCUGUUGGGAGGUGGAAUCAGAUGGUCCAUCUCAUCCCAAAAGCAGCUAAGGUUAAGCUGCAGUUUGGGCCACGUACUGAAGGUACCAGACAUCUGUGAAAGUUGGUUAUAAGAUGCUUUGUCUUGGUCUUGUUUGUCUGGCUUGUUUUCUGUGGUAUUGUCGAGUGUCUUUUUGGCUUUUGUUUCGUUUUUGAAUUUUGGACUGACGACUGUGUUCGAAUUUGGACUGACGACUGUGUUUAAAAUCUUGGACUGAUGACUGUGUUUGAAAUCAUGAAACUGUUUGCUUUGUUCGUCAAAGAGUUUUACUUGGUCCUCUUGGUGCUUAAGUUAAGAGUUAAAAAUAAUUUGCUUGAGAGAAAUUGUUUUCUGCC